rnacentral:rRNA from 1 species
UACGUAGGGUGCAAGCGUUGUCCGGAAUCAUUAGGCGUAAAGCGCGCGUAGGUGGCCAUUUAAGUCCGCUGUGAAAGUCAAAGGCUCAACCUUUGAAAGCCGGUGGAUACUGGAUGGCUAGAGUACGGAAGAGGCGAGUGGAAUUCCUGGUGUAGCGGUGGAAUGCGCAGAUAUCAGGAGGAACACCAAUAGCGAAGGCAGCUCGCUGGGACGUUACUGACACUGAGGCGCGAAAGCGUGGGGAGCGAACAGG